UAAGGAAUUUUCCACAAUGGGCGAAAGCCUGAUGGAGCAAUACCGCGUGAAGGAUGAAUGUCUUCGGAUUGUAAACUUCUUUUAUAUGUGAAGAUUAUGACGGUAACAUAUGAAUAAGCAUCGGCUAACUACGUGCCAGCAGCCGCGGUAAUACGUAGGAUGCAAGCGUUAUCCGGAAUUAUUGGGCGUAAAGAGUGUGUAGGUGGUAUGUUAAGUUAAAUGUUAAAUCUCGGGGCUCAACUCAGAGGCUGCAUUUAAUACUGGCAAACUUGAGGUUGUGAGAGGUAAGCGGAAUUAGCGGUGUAGCAGUGAAAUGCGUAGAUAUCGCUAGGAACACCAAUGGCGAAGGCAGCUUACUGGCACAAUCCUGACACUGAGACACGAAAGCGUGGGGAGCGAACGGG
rnacentral:rRNA from 1 species